UACGGAGGGUGCAAGCGUUAAUCGGAAUUACUGGGCGUAAAGCGUGCGUAGACGGUUAUGUAAGUCAGAUGUGAAAGCCCCGGGCUUAACCUGGGAACUGCGUUUGAAACUGGGAGACUUGAGUGUGGCAGAGGGGGGUGGAAUUCCACGUGUAGCAGUGAAAUGCGUAGAUAUGUGGAGGAACACCGAUGGCGAAGGCAGCCCCCUGGGUUAACACUGACGCUCGAUGCACGAAAGCGUGGGAGCAAACAGGG
rnacentral:rRNA from 1 species